rnacentral:rRNA from 1 species
GGCAAAAUGACUCCGUAACUUCGGGAGAAGGAGUGCCUUAUUUAUAAGGUUGCAAUAACAAGAUCCAAGCAACUGUUUACCAAAAACACAGGUCUCCGCUAAGUCGUAAGACGAUGUAUGGGGGCUGACGCCUGCCCAGUGCCAGAAGGUUAAAGAAGUUGGUUAGCAUCCGCGAAGCUGAUAACUGAAGCCCUGGUGAACGGCGGCCGUAACUAUAACGGU